AUUGAACGCUGGCGGCAGGCCUAACACAUGCAAGUCGGGCGAGUGGCGGACGGGUGAGUAAUGUAUGGGGAUCUGCCUGAUGGCGGGGGAUAACUACUGGAAACGGUAGCUAAUACCGCAUACCAUCAGAUGAACCCAUAUGGGAUUAGCUUGUGGGUGGGGUAACGGCUCACCUAGGCGACGAUCCCUAGCUGGUCUGAGAGGAUGAUCAGCCACACUGGGACUGAGACACGGCCCAGACUCCUACGGGAGGCAGCAGUGGGGAAUAUUGCGCAAUGGGGGCAACCCUGACGCAGCCAUGCCGCGUGAAUGAAGAAGGCCUUCGGGUUGUAAAGUACUUUCUGUAGGGAGGCGUUAACUACAGAAGAAGCACCGGCUAACUCCGUGCCAGCAGCCGCGGUAAUUC
rnacentral:rRNA from 1 species